CGAUUUCUUCGAAGUUGCGUUGGUUGGAUAGAGAGCAAUACAAUGGAGCUACUGAAACUGCCCAGCAUUAUAUUCCAAGUUCAGCGUGCUUCAGGCGCAUAUAGGAGGUGAAACUCAAUGCCUCGCCUCGCCACGAAACCGCCAUCGCCGCUGAUAUCACCCGAUUGCAAGUUGCAACAGAACAGGCGUUCCACGGUGCUCGCUUGGAUGGCUCGGAUGAAGAACAAAGGAGAAUGUGAUUUCUGCGUCGUGAGCUGCUUCUGCUAAUUUCAGUCUCGAUUCUGUUGACUUCGCUUCUUGGAAGGAUUUGGCUUUCUUCAUGCUGCACUUCCAAUAUUGGAUCUAGAAAUGUCCCGAGAUUCAUAUCGUACCUGAUCAUCUUAAGAAACGCGGACUGCAGCUUGUCAUAUUGUCUGUCCAUUGUGCGAUACCUUGUGACAUUGAAACAUGUGUAUACGUGUGAAACACUUCCCGACAGUGUGCGCGAGAUGUUUUCCAUUAUUGUGUCAACCUGGAUAUGCCACUUUCAAGGUAUGUAUUUUCGUAAUAAAAUAGUGUGUUGCUCAAUA